GUAAAAAACAUGUGAUAUUUAUAAAUUGUCUAAUUUUCUAAACAAAGAUUUUUUUUUUUUUUAGUUACAGUUUAUUGUUUUGCAUUGCUAUACAGGAUGCAAAACUGAUGCUGUGGAUUUUGACAUGGAAAGUCUUUUUUCCUUUUCUGUUAAUGUUUGGGUGUUAUUUCAGUGACAGGUUUUGAUGGGUUUUCAGGCGGUGACGAUCGGAUGGAGCGGGGAUCUGGUUUUGAGAAACUUGAGGAUGAGAGGAGAGUGACAAUUGAGUCGUUGUAAAAGAAAGCUCUCAAUACUUGCAGCGCACUUCUUUCCUUCUGUUUUCCACUUGGCCUAUCAUGAUAUAACUAUCUCGAGAAGGAUUUUUUGUAUUUGCAUUAUGGUCUGCAUCUUCCAGUUUCCUACUAAGCCUCUGCUUUCUCUUAUUUGUGUAUUUUUGUAGGCUAGGUUUGCAUGCAUUUCCCUGUGCUUUGCAUCGAGCAGUUGGUGUAGGCUAUGGAUUCCUGCCUGUUCUGGGUUUCACUCCCAUCCAGCGAACUCAAACCUGUUGUUGAUGAUCAAGUUAGCGUGGAAUCUGACGGUGAUCGAUACCAAGAGCAUGCUUUGCCAGAUAGGCAUGUUGAAUGGCCUCCAACAACUAAGAGAAGGGGGAAUCUCAUUGGCAAUCUUGGCAGAAGUAACUGACUCACAAUCCAAAAACUCAACGUGUAAAUUUUCCUUCAGUGCGAUAUUUGAAUUGAUUUGGUUUGAGUUGAUCUAUUUUACUUGGGUCCUUGGGCUUGACAAUCCAUCUUGAGAGCUGGUGCAGUUUGGAAAUAGUGAUUUUAAGUCGGGAAUUAGGACUUGCUCUGUGACUGGUGCCGGAGAAUGUCUUCUGAUAUAGUUCCUAUGCAUAGCUCUUCUGUGCGAGGGAUGCAAGAUGAGUUGCAUGCUGUUUGAAGAAGCACCAUUGCUUGAUUUGCUGGCCUAGACAACCACGACAAAUCAUUUGCUCAGCUGGGUGGAAGCUAUUUCCUGUACUGAGAAACAAAAAAGCCUGACUUGUCAGUUCUGGUUCUCAGACCACAUAUUGCAUUGUUUUUCCUUGACACAGUCGUGUUUUUUUUCUUUAGAAAUCGAUACCGACAUGAUAGAUGUGUUGAAGAACAAAUUUCUCCUGAAGAUGGUUAGGUCUGUUGGCGAGGGUGUCAUGCGCAUGAUGCCCUCUUCUCUUCUGGAACUAUUAACAGAAAUAACGAAGCUAAGAGGACAACCUCCCUAGCUCCUGAAAAAUUGAAAAUAUCAGGGUACUUUGUGUUAAAUAAUAUUUAUUUAAUUUUAUUUAUUAAGGGUAGAACAAUACUUUCAAUUUUAUCUAUAUAUACGUUAUUUGUGUUUAGAUUAAAACAAUGCAUUCAUAAUAUACAGAUUAUUCAGAAUUCUAGUUUUUUUUUGGUAUUUAAUCUCAAUUAUUUUAACAGCAUGCAAAUCUGGACUGGGUGUGAAAUGCAGGGGCAUACUUCUUGACAUUUUGGAAGCUUCAGCAAUGCUUGAUCAUUUAGCUAGCAGACAUUUUUGGCCCUUCCUGUUCUGUAAAUUAUGUCGACAGUGGUGUAAUGAAGAAAGAAGACCUUGCAAUAUUGCAAAUAUCAAUUGUUAACUAAAGUAACCCAAGUUCGAUUUAAUUUAGGUUAAUCGUAGACAAAAGUUCAUGUUGUUGUCUUGUCGCGGAAUGUA